GCAUAACGCGAAGAACCUUACCUAGGUUGAACUAUGCAGGAAAAGCCACAGAGAUGUGGUGUCCUUCGGGGCCUGCGAUAGGUGGUGCAUGGCUGUCGUCAGCUCGUGUCGUGAGAUGUUGGGUUAAGUCCCGCAACGAGCGCAACCCUUAUCCUAUGCUGCCAGCGCGUUAUGGCGGGGACUCAUCGAAGACUGCCGGGGUCAACUCGGAGGAAGGUGGGGAUGACGUCAAGUCAUCAUGCCCCUUAUGUCCAGGGCUUCACGCAUGCUACAAUGGCCGGUACAAUGGGCUGCGAUACCGUGAGGUGGAGCGAAUCCCAAAAAGACCGGUCUCAGUUCGGAUCGGGGUCUGCAACUCGACCCCGUGAAGUCGGAGUCGCUAGUAAUCGCAGAUCAGCAACGCUGCGGUGAAUACGUUCCCGGGUCUUGUACACACCG
rnacentral:rRNA from 1 species